GGAGGCAGAGGAUAGGUGGGGCGACCACGGAAUUUGGGAAACUCAGAGCUGUAUUUGGGAGCGGAACGAUAUUUGGGGCGGACAGGCACGUGUGCAGGGCAAACCCGUGCGUGUUUAGGGAGAACCGAGAAGUAUUCUGAUGGGCAGAAACAGUUGGGGACGGGGAGGGCUUUGGGUUCACAGCAGCAUGCGGACUCGGAGUACCAGGCCAGAUCCUGCAGGUGUAGGUUGAGGUGUAAACGAGCAGGAGCAGUUACAACUGGAGUAGGCAAACAGUUCUUAGUCCCAACGGACACAAAACGGAAGUUGAUACUUUAGAAACUUUUCCGAGGUGCAUAAAUGGGGGGGCGUGGGACCCACGCUCCCGCCGUGUAUCACGCCUCUGAACGAUUUUCUGAGGCCGGCCCUGGGCGGAGUGAGGACGCCCUACGUCAGCGCGCCCACAAGAAUUUAGGUAGGCGGGCCGCAAACCCCAACUCCUGGAAUUGCCAGGCAACAGCCAUUCAAUUAGGUUGCUGGGAUACCAGUCACCAUGGCAAUAGCUCCGCGCCUCUCAGUCUGAGUAUUUAAAGAGCAAGCGCGCGCACUUCGGCGUCUGAAAGUGGCCUUCCCGGGCACCCGGGGUUCCCCUUCUCUCCUCGCCCUUUCGCCCUCCCUUUCGCCCUCCUGGGCGCCCAGGCUCUGGUGUACCUCUAAAGUGACCCCAGCUCCCCAGAGCGCCCCCAGUCCCUGGGCUCCAAAGGCCCAGGUGGUAGGAGCGGGAUUCCGGGGCCCCGGGCGGGCGGGAGGGACGGGAUGCGGUGCAGUGUUGUUCUUUGCCCCGCCAAUAUUGCACUCGUCCCGGCCUCCGGCCCCCUCGGCCCCCCCGGCGCCCCCUUACCCAGAGCGGGCGAGCCCCAGCCCUGGCCUUUCCAUCCCUGCGGAGCUUAGACAGAAGUGUCGCCGCCGCCGCCACGAUGCUGCUGGAGCAAGUUCUGGGCACUUACGGGACUGCCCCAGGCCUGGAGAACUGAAAGACUCAAUAGCCUGAGUUUAGAGGGGAAAGUUGGAGCAAAGGAAUGGUGUGCCUAACCAUCGCCUCCUCUGUGCUGAGACGGGAAAGAGCCUGCAAGCCCUACCCAUGACACCAAGAAACUGAGCAGAGGGAAGGCCACGGAAGCUGAGCCCCGCCCCGCCCCGCCCUUUCUCCCCAGGGCUCACGCCCCUCCCUUACCGAAUGUAGCCAACCUGGGGCCGGUGCAGCAGCUGCCAUCUAUAGGAUGUCUUGUCACGCCACCCCACAUUCCGAGGGUCAGUCCACAGUAGUCGUACCUGAUCAGGGGUGUGGCCAGUGUGCCACAGAGCAUUUCGGAGGUGCUCACCUGGGCCAGACACUGAUGUCACUGCCUGGAAGUUGUUGACAAAGACAGUGUGUCAACCCCAGGGCCGGGGUGAAGGGAGACAGAAGAUGGUGAGAAAGCUCCGGAGUCAAGAGGAUCAGGAAAAUUCUCGGGGGUCCCACAGCUGGUGGUCAGACCAGAUGUCUGGAAGCGGCCACUGUCCUGGUAACUGAAGAGGAAGCCUGCGUAGUCAUCAUCAGUGACCGUGUUCACGUGGAAAGUGCCUUCAAAGUCCACUCCAUUGAAGGCCGUGUAUCCUGGGGUGGGGAUGGGAUAAAUGUGGGCAUUAGAGCUGCUUGGUGGCCUGUGGUAGGCGCCUUUCCCUUGGAAAUUACGAGCUGGUAUCUCUUACAUACCUACUGCAAGACCUGGGUCACUGUUCAUAGUCUGGACAAUUUCCAUGCCCUGGGUGUUAAGGAAAGAAAGAAAAAAAGUCCUGAUGCAGGUGCUUGAUGCCACCGGGUGCCAACAGUGGUCUGGUCCGACAGCACUGCCCAGCCCGCUGCGCCCCAUACCUGGUUGAGCACUACCCAGUUUGGAUCAAUCUGAGCAUCACCCUCGGGAUCCAGAACCACAGUCUGAUAGGCCCGGAAAUCUGUGAGGGUAACUUCUGCACUUUCCGGACACACAUCCAGAGGGUCAACCACGGCAUCGUUGUCAAAGUCGUCCUCACACACAUCACCAACACCGUUGCCUGGAGAGAGUGAGGCGAGAUACUCAGGUCCCGCCAACUGUCACCAUUGGGAUUUCCCAUUCCUGACCCCUCCCUGCCCUUCCAUCCCUCACUCCCCUUCAGUAGGCCUGCCUCUUGAGCACGGCCCCUAUCAGUCAAACUGUCUCUGGGACGCCAUCCUCACCAUCUGAGUCUUUCUGAUUAGGAUUGGGUACCAGACGACAGUUAUCAGGCCCAGGAGGAACAUAAUCUGGGACACCAUCAUUGUCAUCAUCUGCGUCACACUCGUCUCCAAGUCCGUCAUUGUCUGAGUCCAGCUGAGAGCUAUUUGGCAGCUGAGGACAGUUGUCCUUGGUGUCCUGAUGCCCGUCUCCAUCGCUGCUCAGAAGAAAAGGCAACAGAUACCAGCUGAAAAUAUAGGUUUCAUCUUCUUAUCUUCUGGGGCCUGCCUACCCUCCAACCUGGUCCCCUUGCCACCAUCCAGAUGAGAUGGAGAUCCAGCAGUUGGAAUGGAGGGUGGAUUGUGAGAAUGGCGAAUUAAGGCUGCAUCAUAGAGGUAACUGAGAAUGUAGUGAAGGAAAAUGCUCCCUGGGAGACCUUGGGUCUCUUGGCCUAGACCCUACCUGUCUUCAUUGGUGUCACAGACAUCCCCCACCAGGUCGCUGUCUGCGUCUGUCUGAAAGAGAGGUCUGAUCUCACCAUCUCUUAAUAACUCAGGAGAGGGUGAUUUCACCUCUUAUUUAAAGGACAGGACCUCAGCCACCAAACCCCCACCCUCCCUCACCCUCAACAUUCCCCUGUACCUGGGUAGGAUUGCUCAUUUCAGGGCAGCUGUCACAAGCAUCUCCCACGCCAUCUUCAUCCCGGUCUGUCUGCAGUGGGUUGGGUACUUUAGGGCAGUUGUCCAAUCCAUUGGGGAUGCCUAGUAGACACGAGAAACAAGGCUGCUGUGAAUUGUGUGGCAUGCUUUUCUCUGCUGGUGAAAGCCCUGAACUUUGUCAGGAAACUUGCUUUUGCUGACAUCUUCUCUAACCACUCCGUGUUCGUAGCCCAGUGUCUCUAAGCCACUGACUCCCAGCCUCCACGCCUCAUCCCUGUGGCUCUCCAGCCUCAUCCCUGUGGCUCUCCAGCCUCAUCCCUGUGGCUCUCCCAGCCUCAUCCCUGUGGCUCUCCCAGCCUCAUCCCUGUGGCUCUCCCAGCCUCAUCCCUGUGGGUCUCCAGCCUCAUCCCCUCAUCCCUGUGGCUCUCCCAGCCUCAUCCCUGUGGCUCUCAAGCCUCAUCCCUGUGGCGCUCCCAGCCGUCCCUGGGCCCCAGGCCUGCACCAUCCCCAUCCACAUCGUUGUCACAGGCAUCUCCUUCUCCAUUGCCAUCUGUGUCCUUCUGGUCAUUGUUGGGAACAUUGGGACAGUUGUCACAGGCGUCACCAAAUGAAUCUGUGUCUGAA